UCCCUCAUAGUGAGGAGUCCCACCCAUACCAGGGCUCCCACCUGGAAGCCAGGAUUCACCUUCCUCUGCUCCUACCCAGGCCCAACAAUGCCCCACCUGCCCUCUAUCAUUAAUUCCACACCUUUGCAUAGUCCUUCAUGUUUCACAGAUUGACAGCUUAAUCCAAAAUGCUUAAUCUUUCAACAUUAUCAUCCCCAUUACACAGAUGGAAAAGCAGAGGUUCAGAGAGGUUAAGUGACUUGCCAAAGAUUUCACAGCUAUGACAUAGCAUAGCUGGGAUUUGAACCCAAGUUCUCUGGCCUCAAAUGUCAGCCACUCUCCAAUGCUCUGCCUCCCCCUCUGAGGACCACUCAGUUGCUAGGAGACAACAAGCCAGUGGUUACUAUGGGAACUGGGCUGAUGUGGAAAGAGUCGGUGUCCAGGCCGCAGUGGGAAGGCUCCAGGAACAACACAGAGGCUUCACUCUGGAUGACAAACGAGAUGGGGAGAGGCCUGCCCUGCCUGGACUCCGGGUCUCAGCCAUGACCUGUAAGCAAGAUGACCUAGAGCAAAUCUCUGUUCUGGGGAUUUGCAAAUCUCCCCAGUGGUUCAUGCCCAGACCUGGAAUCCUGGCUCACCUUGGUAAGCCGUCAACCUCUGCAUGCCUCAGGAUCCUCAUCUGCAAAAUGGACACACCCGUAGGCUUAGUGGAGCCAGUGCAUGUAAUCACUUA